rnacentral:rRNA from 1 species
ACGUAGGAGGCGAGCGUUAUCCGGAUUCACUGGGCGUAAAGCGUGUGCAGGCGGUUCGGUAAGUUGGGCGUGAAAUCUCCCGGCUCAACUGGGAGAGGUCGUUCAAUACUACCGGACUUGAGAGCGAUAGAGGAAAAUGGAAUUCCCGGUGUAGUGGUGAAAUGCGUAGAUAUCGGGAGGAACACCAGUGGCGAAGGCGGCUUUCUGGCCCGUAACUGACACCGAGGCGCGAAAGCGUGGGGAGCGAACGG